AUGAGAAGGAGGGAAGAUUUAAAUUACACGCUUGGCUCGUGAACAACUAUAUCUGCUCGUCUUCACAUGAACUGGUAUAUCUCUCUGUUCAUCGGCUUCGUGUGGGUCUCUCUGGUUAAUUUCAGGUUUACUUUAUCUGCAAUUCCUGACAAAGCAUCACCAGCAAUUCCAAGAUUUAGUAGACCAAGAAGGGGAGAAGUCGUUAAAUCAGUCUUUAAAUCACUCCAAUUGGUGGAAGCCUUGUAUCUUCAACUUAGAAUUUUACAGUUGACUAUUAGCUCCAGUUGAAUGGUAGUUACUCUGUGUAUGUAGUGGCCGGAUUGUAUUUGAUUCAAAGAAACCAAAUUAAAGAAGUAUUGUAGUUGGGAUAUUCAUUCA